GGGAGAUUAGUUCAGAUGGAUAGAACACAGACCUUCUAAGUCUGGGGUCACAAGUUCAAGUCUUGUAUCUCCCA
rnacentral:tRNA from 1 species